AGUUGUGUAAUAAUCCUGGUGGGGCUCACAGCACUGCGUGGCAGGAGCGGAGCGAGCCUCGUAGGCGUUCCAGGUGUUCCCUGAGCCGGAUUAAAUGCCUCUGCGCUGUGGGGGUGGGGACAGCGUGGGGGGAAGCCAGGAAAAGCCGGGGCCAGAGGACCCCCCGCCGAGAAAGAGAAAGAGCUCAGAGCCGGGGACUGGAGGCCUGGAGGAGCCGAUGUGGGAGAGAUCCUCGUGGGAGGGCCCCAGUGGCCGGGAUGGUAAAAGACUUCGGAGCAAACUAAUCGAUUGUAAUUACAUGAAGGUGAAGCUGGUGAUGAUGUGUCAGAUGGGGAGUGUUCAGGAAAACUCCUACAAAGAGGCCUCAUUGAAGGGAACCCAGG
rnacentral:lncRNA from 1 species